rnacentral:pre_miRNA from 1 species
UGCCGAAGUUUUCCUCGACAGUUAACUGCAGUCGUAUUUGUAAAACUUCGGCAGUUAACUGCCGAAGGGUAU